rnacentral:miRNA from 1 species
CCAAAGAAUCAAUACAUAGGG